GUAUUCUUGGGCUUCUCUAGAGUUUUUACUGUGGAAAAACUCAAUUGGAAACUGAUUAAGGUCUGGAUCCCUGUUAAUGUAAUCUUCAUCGACAUAUGCUUGUAUCAGGCAUGUAUAGAUCCUGAUUUCCUAUUUUAUGAAGACAUCGCAUCAUGAAGAGUAUCUCUGUGUCAAGAUCUCAUAUCAAGGCAUCGGAAUUGGUGCGAUGUUGGGAGAUACAACAGAGUGGAGGAAAUGUUGAACACUGGAAUAGUGCCAAAGUAACCCUAUGCAAUCAUUGGGAGAUCAAGCUUGGAACACCCAGCAAAUUGUUUUCUUCUUUAUCAUCAUGUAAAGCUUAUGAAACUUGAAAGCUUGUUAAGCUAAUGAAAUAGAUUAAUGCUUUAUGAAAUUGUCUUUGUUGGAUCUA